CCCCUAGAUGUUCUGGGCCGCACACGCGCUACACUGAACAGUUCAACAAGUCUUAACCUUGGCCGAUAGGUCUGGGUAAUCUUUGAACGCUGUUCGUGAUUGGGAUAGACCUUUGCAAUUAUGGGUCUUCAACGAGGAAUUCCUAGUAAACGCAAGUCAUCAGCUUGCAUUGAUUACGUCCCUGCCCUUUGUACACACCGCCCGUCGCACCUACCGAUUGAAUGGUCCGGUGAAAUCUCGGGACGGCGGCUUGGUCGCUUGCGUCCGACUGCUGAAACUUGAUUAAACCAUAUCAUUUAGAGGAAGGUGAANUCGUAACA
rnacentral:rRNA from 1 species